rnacentral:tRNA from 1 species
ACUGCCAUAGAUCCAGCGACUGAGCGCACCCUUGGCAAGGGUGCGGUUGCGUGUUCGACCCACGCUGGCAGCACCA